GAGCACCACAUUGUAUUCAUAUUUGUGCCCUCGAUGUGUCAUGAAUCAAUGAAUGAAUAGCACCAAGUUUUUUUUAAAGCACAGAUGGUGUUUGUGGAAGCCAUGAGAAUGUGCCUCCCAGAUUGCUGAGCAUAACGCUGACGCCAGGGCUGCCGCAUUAUGAAUCACUACACUUCCCACAGGCUGCUCUGGGCCAGUGACUGAGUGGGGCCAGGGAGACAGGCAAGCCCGUGCUGUGAGACACGAAACUGCUCCGACAGCUUGAAGACAUCUGGACCAUCUGGACAUACUGCAGAACAUGGUAUUGAUUCAUUACAAUGAUGACAUCGUGCUGAUCUGGCAACAUGAGUAAGAGUGCUGGCACGCUAGAGACCUUGUUUCCCCUCAGGAAGAGAGGCCCACCAGAACCCCAGAAGAGCUGCUCCACAACUGUGCUAUGAAGUGGAGCCACACGGGACACAAGUGUGUGCUUCUGGAAGAAUCUAACUGGAACAGAUGUGUCCAAGAGGCCCCUGAAUUCAAGCUGUUCCCUGCUCCCAAUCCUGGGAGGUGUGACCUGACUAAUCAGAACUGCUAUUUUCUCAUAUAUAAAAUUAAAGACAUUUCUUUCUUAUCUACAUUAUAUGAUUAUUGUGAUGCUAAAUGAAUAUGUGCAGGAAAAUGCUAUGCAAUUUGAAAAGCACUAUGUAAACUAUUAUAGUUUUUAUUGAAAGGCUGAAAGAGUUAAAGCAUUUCCCGGAUUACCUAACCAUCCUCAACAGUUAAAAAAAAAAUCCAGACAGAUGAUCAUUUUCAAGCCCUUUCAAAGCUAGUAUGGUGGAUGUGGUUUUUCUGUAGCUUUACUUAUCCCCAGGGAGUAAUUUAUACACUCAAAGAUCUUGCUUGACAAUCAGAUACAGACCUAAAUAAAGAAUUGUUUGGUACUAUGGUAACCUGCCAUGGGAAUUUCGGUUUCUUUCUUUCCCUUUCUAGGAUAACAAUUCCUAAGACAGAGGAAAUGAGAAACAUUGAAACAACUCUUUUGACAAAACACUGUGGCCAGCGCAUUGGGGAAAAAUACUUCACACCUAUAUGAUCACGAACCAAUUUUCUCUAGCACUAUUGUGAUAAGACAAUUUUAUAUCUGUGGGUAAAUAUUGCAAUUUUAAUAUACAUGUAAAUAAAAAUAUUUCCUAUAAACACAUUCUUUUAUUGUUCAUUCUUAGUAUUCAUACUUAUCUAUAAAAAUAUUUCCUAUAAACACAUUCUUUAUUCAUACUUAUCUAUAAUGUAUUACAAAAACACAGCUAGUGAUGAUGUCAUCACUUUUUAUCAGAAAAACUUUUAGCAGUAACUUUUUAGCAGAAAAGAUGGGGAAUUUUUCUAUAACGUGCUAUUGUUUGCUUAGCUAGUGAUACAGAUAUGCAAUGCGUUUUCUCUUUCUUUCUUCCUGCCUUUCAAAAGGUGUAUCUCUGAUUUGCAUUUGAGAGUUCACACAAGUUCAGCUGCAAGCUUUGAGAAUUUGUGGUUCCACAUAAAAAACUGUAAACGGGUUUAAAAACCAGUCCUGUUCCCCUUCUGCUCACUCUGCCCAAAGUGCCUUUUUUUUGGUCAAAGCAGAUCUAUAGGUCUAAAACGUCCAGCUGAGUGACAGGGUUAAAACUUUUACCUAUUUAUUCAGAUGUCAGGACAUUACUGAAGUAAAUGUAGCUGACGAUGCAUGGUUAACCCAUAUGGUUUUGCAUAUAUUUUAGAAAUAUGGAUAAAAGUCAAAGAAGAA
rnacentral:lncRNA from 1 species